AUAAUGGCGUUUUUUUUUUUAAAACGCCACAGAAGACCAUUAUUUUACAAAAAAAAAAAGGGAAAUCAAAAUCCCGCUCACUCCCAAAAAAAUAACUUUUGCUUACCCACUCGUUACUCCCUCUUCUUCUCAUCUAUGUCACUCGCCCUAAAUCCCCCAAAUAAAAUUUAGCUACUCUUUUUCUCUUGUUACUCUUUUUCUCUCGAUCCUUCGUUUCUUUUCACUGUCUAGAUAUAUCCGCCUCUCUCAUCUUCCGUUGUUUAUACGUUUGGUUGUUGUUGAAGAAGUGCUACUACCAUGGCUACAAAGAAGAGCGUUAGGGACUUGAAGGAAGCUGAUUUGAAGGGAAAGAAAGUGUUUGUUAGAGUCGAUCUAAACGUUCCAUUGGAUGAUAACUUCAACAUAACUGAUGACACAAGGAUCCGUGCUGCUGUUCCCACCAUCAAGUAUUUGAUGGGUCAUGGCUCUAAAGUCAUCCUCUCUAGUCAUUUGGUAAUUUGUUAUGGGAUACUUUUGGUUUUGAUGGCUGUUGGGAACUUUAUAAACACAAUACAGACACUCGUGACAAAAUCAAUGUUUAAAGCAAAGAUGAAAAGAUCAAAGAGCAAGCCGGAGUUGGAUUAAAAUGUCCUUGAUUGUUAGGACUGAGCCAUGCUUCCUUUACAGCCACUCAGGAGCGAGAAACUACUUUGAAUCAGCUACUAAUAGAGCUUGAUGGGUUUGAUACUGACAAAGCCUUUGUGCUAAAUUUGUACCACCAGCCUUAAUGGUCUCUCCCUUUCUUUAUCAUUUCUAUUCUUGCUACUUAAUUAUCAAAAAAUGGGUGCACCAACAGACUCAGCCCUCGAUAUCGAUGAACAGAUCUCGCAGUUGAUGCAAUGUCAGAGCAUUAUGCAACAAGGCAUAAAAUAUACAUCUCAAAGACUAGAUAUAUUUGCAUGUGUUAGGCAAAAUGGUUGAACAAGAAAUUGAGCAAAUUAUGGCCUUUUGUUGCAGAGAUGAAAUUUAGACAGGUUGUUCAACUCUUUUGGUGCUUUCUGAAGUGAAAAUAAUUGAAAUUGUUCUCUAUCCUGACUUUGGCUUACAGGUGCAUACUUUGGCUUUCUGUUCCGGUGUUUUGGAUUCUCUGGCGGUUGAAUUGAAAGCAUCAAAGGGAUUCUCUAAGUUAUAUGCAGGCAUUGCAAUACUUUGGCUUCAUCUAAGCUUGAACCAGCCCUCUGUUGUAUAUUGUUUCUUCUUCUUUUUUGAUCUUUUUCCUUUGAUUAAUGAGAGGUAAUGAUGAUUUGGCAUUCUUUUCUCACUAGGAUGAAUUUUGUUUUAGAAAUUGUAAUACUUUGUGUGUGUGUGUGUGUGUGUGUGUGUGUUUAUGUAUUAAAUUACAUAUUGAAUCAAUGUUUAUGUAUUAAAUUUAAAUUCA